CGCUAUCGACGAAGCCACUUGUGGUGACGGUAGGUAGAUAAGAAGCACCGGCUAACUACGUGCCAGCAGCCGCGGUAAUACGUAGGGUGCAAGCGUUGUCCGGAAUUACUGGGCGUAAAGAGCUCGUAGGUGGUUUGUCGCGUCGUCUGUGAAAUCCCGGGGCUUAACUUCGGGCGUGCAGGCGAUACGGGCAUAACUUGAGUGCUGUAGGGGAGACUGGAAUUCCUGGUGUAGCGGUGAAAUGCGCAGAUAUCAGGAGGAACACCGAUGGCGAAGGCAGGUCUCUGGGCAGUUACUGACGCUGAGGAGCGAAAGCAUGGGUAGCGAACAGGAUUAGAUACCCUGGUAGUCCAUGCCGUAAACGGUGGGCGCUAGGUGUA
rnacentral:rRNA from 1 species